rnacentral:misc_RNA from 1 species
ACGAGUUAGGGUCUCUCAGGCCCGACCUCCCAACCCUUUGUUUACUAGACCUCUGUUGCUUCGGCGGACCCGUCCCAAACGGACCGCCGGAGGACCGCCCACCGUGCCGCGUCCUCUGGCCAGCGUCCGCCGAUAGCCCCUUCAAACUCUGGAAUAACCAUGAUUGUACUGUCUAAGUGAUUUUAUUCAAUUAAAAGCAA